UACGUAGGGGGCAAGCGUUGUCCGGAUUUAUUGGGCGUAAAGAGCGUGUAGGCGGCCAGACAGGUCCGUUGUGAAAACUCGAGGCUCAACCUCGAGAUGUCGAUGGAAACCGUCUGGCUAGAGUCCGGAAGAGGAGUGUGGAAUUCACGGUGUAGCAGUGAAAUGCGCAGAUAUCGUGAGGAACACCAGAGGCGAAGGCGGCUACCUGGACAAUUGCUGACGCUCAGGCACGAAAGCGUGGGGAGCAAAAGGG
rnacentral:rRNA from 1 species